rnacentral:rRNA from 1 species
GGCCGCGGGAAUUCGAUUCAGGCCUAACACAUGCAAGUCGAACGAUGAAGCUGGAGCUUGCUCCGGUGGAUUAGUGGCGAACGGGUGAGUAACACGUGAGUAACCUGCCCUUGACUCUGGGAUAAGUCCGAGAAAUCGGUGCUAAUACCGGAUAUGACCCUGGAAGGCAUCUUCUGGGGUGGAAAGUUUUUCGGUCAAGGAUGGACUCGCGGCCUAUCAGCUUGUUGGUGAGGUAACGGCUCACCAAGGCAACGACGGGUAGCCGGCCUGAGAGGGUGACCGGCCACACUGGGACUGAGACACGGCCCAGACUCCUACGGGAGGCAGCAGUGGGGAAUAUUGCACAAUGAGGGAAAGCCUGAUGCAGCAA